ACCUAAAGAAACAAGUGGAAAAACUCAUUGUAAAUUAAUGUUAUGUCUUCAUGUGUUAAUUCAUGCUUCAUGCUGACAAAGUAAAAUCACAGUGUGGAUAAGAAAAGAGAGAGGGUCCUCCAUAAUGUGCCAUUCAUCGCCCUGGUGAGUCCUAAUAGAUCCAUGGGUCAGGGUUUCUCGUUGAGUUGGAGACCUUUCAAGCUGAGCCAAGACUUCGGACGGAGAUAUUGGAGCCCACAACGGUGAUUCAUUGACUUGAGAGGAUUUCGGAGAUUCCAGAGAGGGACUUUUCCAGCACUGCAAUGCAAGCCGAGCCGAGACAUUGAACCACCUGCCUGCAGUGAGAAGGCUGCAAACUGAGGAACGCUCAAGUAAUCCACCCUUUCUUCAAACGCGACGAGGCGAAGCAAAGUGAAUCCCCUGAGGUCCUCUCAUCUCUCUUCAGGAGCUGCCGACUCUCUUCUCUUUAUGGCACACCCAGAAGGAUUAAGCACAAAUGGCAUUCACAUGAUUUCAAUAAGCUCGAGGAGACAAGAACCAGCCUUUCAGCACAUUAGCUUUUCGCUGUGGAGGACACAAAGCAGACACCGAGCAACUGCAGGGGGAAGAAAGAAAGAAAAAAAAGAACACACAGUUAAUAAUGAUCAUAAUAAUAGACCAGUCUGGCACUGCUGAAAUGGAAUUCCACUGGCCCAAAAAUGGACCCGUAAGAGGUGAUGUCAUCAAUUACAGCCAUGAUUGGGUUAGACGUGAACCUGGGGUGACACCGUAGUAAAAAAGGUGACCCCCCCUCCCUUUCGUGGCAAAACCAAAGACGCGACCUUUCAAAACAGCAAGUGUUAUCUGGAUAAAGUCAAUGUGACACAAAAGGGUCUCUUCAAAAUAAUUAAACACAUAUUCAGA